ACCAUCUCCAGAUACCAACCCGAUUAUUUUUAUGGGACUCGCUCCCUCGUAAUGCCAUGGGAAAGGUGAACAAAAAGGAGCUGAAGAUGAAACUGGCUGCUGAAGAACAAUAAACCGAUUUUAUCAUCGACGAAAGAUGCAACAUACCGUUUGUGUGUAAUCUAUGUUAAACGGUAAACUGCAUGCUCUCGUCGAUGGUAACGGAGAUUUUAUUUUCUCGGCUGUCGGUAUUCCUGUUAGGGAUACCGCUGUCAGAAAACUCUACAUAUAAUUUCCUUUCGAGUUGUUAGAAGUUAACGAUGAUGUGCUUAUUAUGGUAAUGUUGGCUUUGAUUUAUAUGAUUCUUGUAAUUCCUCGUUAUUUAAAAAUUGAUAAUAUGGUAAGUUUCGAGAACAGAACAGGGAUCACUGUUUUACAUUUGAUAUGAUCUUUAUAUGAAAUAGACAGGAACAUAAGAAUAAAA